rnacentral:lncRNA from 1 species
CCCAGGCUACAGUGAGCUGUGAUUGGGGGCCACUACUCCAGCCUGGAAGACAGUGAGACCCUGUCUGAGAAAAAAAAAGAAAGAAAAAGAAAACAAAAAGAAGGAAGGAAGGCAGGAGGGAGGGGAAGGAAGGAAAGGAAGGAAAGAAAAAAAGAAAGAAACUAGUGCUUGGCUUUUGAGCAACCACAAGGACCCUGAAGGGAACCAUCUGUCCGUCCCUUGGAGGGGAACUCUCUCAAGGAUCCCACAGAGCCUAAAGCUGAUAGGAUGGCCUCAUGGCUGAAUUCAGAGGGAAAGAAAAAUGCUGAAAUAAAGUUUAGGCUGAGAAGCUUCUAGACCAGCAACUGCUCAUUAGAAUGUGUUUUUCUGCUUUGGGUUUCAGGCCCAUCCUAACCCAGAUCAAAGAUCCUGGGACAGCUGGAAGAGGCAUGGCCUAAUGGAACUCCCAAGUGGACAGUGCCAGGCAUGGAGGGACAGAGCUUCUGAAACAGUCCUCAGAGUCCGUGCAUCUGGGUCUUUCUGUAGGAACCGCCCCAUCAGCAGUGCCAGGCCGAACCAAGCACACGCACUGAUCUACCGCACGAUGGGGGCUGCUGUGGGUGGGUUUGUUUGCUUCAGCCAUGUCCGCAGACAGGAACAGAAGAGCACGCUGGAGGCCACCAGCCCUCUCGCCUGCUAGUUCAAAAGGGGUUGCAGCAGGGCUGGAAAGCGGUUCCCACUGUGGUUGCCCCCUUCCUCUCUGUGGCACACACAGACCUGAAAAUAACCAGAGAGGGACUGCAAGCUGCCAGCCUAAAACAGGAAGGCUGCAGAAAGUCCUAGGCUCAGAUAGGAGAGUUUAAAAGAAUGUUGAAACCAAGAAUAGGCAUCACAGAUCCCACCUGUCUCUGCACCAAAGCAGACCUCCCCCUCUCUAAUCUACUGAUGGGGAGCCUGUGUGCUCUGUAGUCACGCAAAUCGAGUUCCCAUCCCGGCUUUACCACUUGCUGGCUGUAUGACUUAAGCAAGUUACUUAACCUCUCUGAGCCCCUAUUUCCUGAUUUGCAAGAUAAGAGCAGCAACAUACAAAUUUUUAGUGGUGUGGUUCACAUGAAAAAAUGUAGUCCUGGCCAGGCCAGGCGCAGUGCUUCACACCUAUAAUCCCAGCACUUUAGUCGAGACCAGCCUGACCCACAUGGUAAAACCCCAUCUCUACUAAAAAUACAAAAAUUAGCCGGGCGUGGUGGCGCACACCUGUUGUCCCAGCUACUCAGGAAGCUGAGACAGGAGAAUCACUUGAACCCAGGAGGCAGACGUUGCGGUGAGCCGAGAUGGCACCACUGCACUCCAGCCUGGGCAACAAGAACGAAACUCCAUCUCAAAAAAAAAAAAGAAAAGAAAAGAAAAAAA